rnacentral:lncRNA from 1 species
AUAUUGUUUUUCAUAACUGUUUCUUUAAGCAAUAACCUCAGUGCAUAAUAUGUUUGCGCCAUUUUGUCCCAGACUAAUUACAAUAACAAUAAUGCAUAAACAAGCUUCAAGGCUAUGCUACGACUCUUGCAGUACACAAUAUACUGUGGUAACCCCAAGUUAAUGGAACUUCCCCAAAUCCGGGAAUCUCCCGCGACUGUACACUUACGACUUAGUAUAAAC